rnacentral:rRNA from 1 species
CUUUAAGUUUCGGUCUUGCGACCGUACUCCCCAGGCGGCAGACUUAACGGCUUCCCUGCGGCACUGGGCUGGCACAAGGCUAGCCCAUCACCGAGUCUGCAUCGUUUACAGCUGGGACUACCCGGGUAUCUAAUCCGGUUUGCUCCCCCAGCUUUCAUCCCUCACCGUCGAGCGCGUUCUGGCAAGCCGCCUUCGCCACUGGUGGUCUUCAAUGGAUCAAAGGAUUUUACCCCUACCCACUGAGUACCGCUUGCCUCUCCCGCCUCCUAGUCCUAUAGUAUCCUCCGCGGCCCAUCCGUUGAGCGGCUGGAUUUAACGGAGGACUUGCAGAACCGGCUACGGAUGCUUUAGGCCCAAUAAUCGUCCCGACCACUCGGGGUGCUGGUAUUACCGCGGCGGCUGACACCAGACUUGCCCACCCCUUAUUCUGCACCA